ensembl:misc_RNA
UCUGCAGCAGUAGAGGCUGAAGCCUCUUCUCAUCCGCAGGUCAGGUACAGUGUGGACAAGUGCACUGCAGGCUCCCCUACACYGCGCCGCCGGUGCACCUCAAAGCGGACAUGGAAGGACCACUAUCUAACAGGGGUGAGAAGGUAAUUGCAGUCCCCRUUUCAGGCUUUGGGCUCAA